rnacentral:rRNA from 1 species
UGCCCUAGUAACGGCGAGUGAAGCGGCAACAGCUCAAAUUUGAAAUCUGGCCCUCGGGUCCGAGUUGUAAUUUGUAGAGGAUGCUUUUGGUGAGGUACCUUCCGAGUUCCCUGGAACGGGACGCCAUAGAGGGUGAGAGCCCUGUCUGGUUGGAUACCGAUCCUCUGUAAAGCUCCUUCAACGAGUCGAGUAGUUUGGGAAUGCUGCUCUAAAUGGGAGGUAUAUGUCUUCUAAAGCUAAAUAUUGGCCAGAGACCGAUAGCGCACAAGUAGAGUGAUCGAAAGAUGAAAAGCACUUUGAAAAGAGAGUUAAAAAGUACGUGAAAUUGUUGAAAGGGAAGCGCUUAUGACCAGACUUGGACUUGGUUGAUCAUCCUGGGUUCUCCCUGGUGCACUCUUCCAGUUCAGGCCAGCAUCAGUUCAUCGCGGGGGAUAAAGGCUUUAGGAAUGUGGCUCCUUCGGGAGUGUUAUAACCUAUUGUGUAAUACCCUGCUUUGGACUGAGGUUCGCGCAUCUGCAAGGAUGCUGGCGUAAUGGUCAUCAGCGACCCGUCUUGAAACACGGACCAAGGAGUCGUCUUCGUAUGCGAGUGUUCGGGUGUUAAACCCCUACGCGUAAUGAAAGUGAACGCAGGUGAGAGCUUCGGCGCAUCAUCGACCGAUCCUGAUGUUCUCGGAUGGAUUUGAGUAAGAGCAUACGGGGCCGGACCCGAAAGAAGGUGAACUAUGCCUGUAUAGGGUGAAGCCAGAGGAAACUCUGGUGGAGGCUCGCAGCGGUUCUGACGUGCAAAUCGAUCGUCAAAUAUGGGCAUGGGGGCGAAAG